rnacentral:misc_RNA from 1 species
CAACCCUCGCGCCCAUCCGGGCUGCGGUGUUGGGGACCGGCACAACCCCCCCCGGGGGGCGCCGCCCCCCAAAUCCAGUGGCGGCCCCGCCGCUGCCUCCCCUGCGUAGUAGCACACCUCGCACCGGAGCGCGGCUCGGCCACGCCGUAAAACCCCCGACUCUUAGA